CCGUACACAAAAAUGCACAUAUUGUGAGCUCGAUGAGUAGGGCGGGACACGUGGUAUCCUGUCUGAAUAUGGGGGGACCAUCCUCCAAGGCUAAAUACUCCUGACUGACCGAUAGUGAACCAGUACCGUGAGGGAAAGGCGAAAAGAACCCCGGCGAGGGGAGUGAAAAAGAACCUGAAACCGUGUACGUACAAGCAGUGGGAGCCUCUUAAUGGGGUGACUGCGUACCUUUUGUAUAAUGGGUCAGCGACUUAUAUUCUGUAGCAAGGUUAACCGAAUAGGGGAGCCGAAGGGAAACCGAGUCUUAACUGGGCGUUAAGUUGCAGGGUAUAGACCCGAAACCCGGUGAUCUAGCCAUGGGCAGGUUGAAGGUUGGGUAACACUAACUGGAGGACCGAACCGACUAAUGUUGAAAAAUUAGCGGAUGACUUGUGGCUGGGGGUGAAAGGCCAAUCAAACCGGGAGAUAGCUGGUUCUCCCCGAAAGCUAUUUAGGUAGCGCCUCGUGAAUUCAUCUCCGGGGGUAGAGCACUGUUUCGGCAAGGGGGUCAUCCCGACUUACCAACCCGAUGCAAACUGCGAAUACCGGAGAAUGUUAUCACGGGAGACACACGGCGGGUGCUAACGUCCGUCGUGAAGAGGGAAACAACCCAGACCGCCAGCUAAGGUCCCAAAGUCAUGGUUAAGUGGGAAACGAUGUGGGAAGGCCCAGACAGCCAGGAUGUUGGCUUAGAAGCAGCCAUCAUUUAAAGAAAGCGUAAUAGCUCACUGGUCGAGUCGGCCUGCGCGGAAGAUGUAACGGGGCUAAACCAUG
rnacentral:rRNA from 1 species